rnacentral:misc_RNA from 1 species
UUUCUGGAUAUCUUCCCUUUGGCUUGCCAGACCUUCCAGAAGCACGACUUUUGUUACAGACUAGCUUCCUUCUACGAAGCAGCAAUUCCCGAAAUGGAGUCUGCAAUUAAGAAGAGGAGGCUUGAAGAUAGCAAGCUUCUUGGUGACCUGUGGCAGAGGCUCUCCCAUUCCAGGAAGAAGCUAAUGGAGAUUUUCCACAUCAUCCUGAA